ANAAGAACAAAAGGCAAGAGAAAAANNNAGAGAGAAAACAGAGNNAGAUAGNAANNUUAGAGUUGACCCUGCUCAGGACGAACGCUGGCGGCGUGCCUAAUACAUGCAAGUCGAGCGGACAGAUGGGAGCUUGCUCCCUGAUGUUAGCGGCGGACGGGUGAGUAACACGUGGGUAACCUGCCUGUAAGACUGGGAUAACUCCGGGAAACCGGGGCUAAUACCGGAUGCUUGUUUGAACCGCAUGGUUCAGACAUAAAAGGUGGCUUCGGCUACCACUUACAGAUGGACCCGCGGCGCAUUAGCUAGUUGGUGAGGUAACGGCUCACCAAGGCGACGAUGCGUAGCCGACCUGAGAGGGUGAUCGGCCACACUGGGACUGAGACACGGCCCAGACUCCUACGGGAGGCAGCAGUAGGGAAUCUUCCGCAAUGGACGAAAGUCUGACGGAGCAACGCCGCGUGAGUGAUGAAGGUUUUCGGAUCGUAAAGCUCUGUUGUUAGGGAAGAACAAGUGCCGUUCAAAUAGGGCGGCACCUUGACGGUACCUAACCAGAAAGCCACGGCUAACUACGUGCCAGCAGCCGCGGUAAUACGUAGGUGGCAAGCGUUGUCCGGAAUUAUUGGGCGUAAAGGGCUCGCAGGCGGUUUCUUAAGUCUGAUGUGAAAGCCCCCGGCUCAACCGGGGAGGGUCAUUGGAAACUGGGGAACUUGAGUGCAGAAGAGGAGAGUGGAAUUCCACGUGUAGCGGUGAAAUGCGUAGAGAUGUGGAGGAACACCAGUGGCGAAGGCGACUCUCUGGUCUGUAACUGACGCUGAGGAGCGAAAGCGUGGGGAGCGAACAGGAUUAGAUACCCUGGUAGUCCACGCCGUAAACGAUGAGUGCUAAGUGUUAGGGGGUUUCCGCCCCUUAGUGCUGCAGCUAACGCAUUAAGCACUCCGCCUGGGGAGUACGGUCGCAAGACUGAAACUCAAAGGAAUUGACGGGGGCCCGCACAAGCGGUGGAGCAUGUGGUUUAAUUCGAAGCAACGCGAAGAACCUUACCAGGUCUUGACAUCCUCUGACAAUCCUAGAGAUAGGACGUCCCCUUCGGGGGCAGAGUGACAGGUGGUGCAUGGUUGUCGUCAGCUCGUUNGAANG
rnacentral:rRNA from 1 species